rnacentral:rRNA from 1 species
CACGCNGUAAACGAUGAGUGCUAGGUGUUAGGCCCUUUCCGGGGCUUAGUGCCGGAGCUAACGCAAUAAGCACUCCGCCUGGGGAGUACGACCGCAAGGUUGAAACUCAAAGGAAUUGACGGGGGCCCGCACAAGCGGUGGAGCAUGUGGUUUAAUUCGAAGCAACGCGAAGAACCUUACCAGGUCUUGACAUCCCGAUGCUAUUCUUAGAGAUAGGAAGUUACUUCGGUACAUCGGAGACAGGUGGUGCAUGGUUGUCGUCAGCUCGUGUCGUGAGAUGUUGGGUUAAGUCCCGCAACGAGCGCAACCCUUAUUGUUAGUUGCCAUCAUUAAGUUGGGCACUCUAGCGAGACUGCCGGUAAUAAACCGGAGGAAGGUGGGGAUGACGUCAAAUCAUCAUGCCCCUUAUGACCUGGGCUACACACGUGCUACAAUGGUCGGUACAACGAGUUGCGAGCCGGUGACGGCAAGCUAAUCUCUGAAAGCCGAUCUCAGUUCGGAUUGGAGGCUGCAACUCGCCUCCAUGAAGUCGGAAUCGCUAGUAAUCGCGGAUCAGCACGCCGCGGUGAAUACGUUCCCGGGCCUUGUACACACCGCCCGUCACACCACGAGAGUUUGUAACACCCGAAGUCGGUGAGGUAACCUUUUAGGGNCCAGC